rnacentral:rRNA from 1 species
CGCAUCUGUGCAUGCAGCAUAUCAAUAAGCGGAGGAAAAGAAACUAACAAGGAUUCCCCUAGUAACGGCGAGUGAAGCGGGAAGAGCUCAAAUUUGAAAUCUUAAAGGGUUUCCCUUUACGAAUUGUAGUUUAAAGAAGUGUUUUCUGUUGAGGUUUUGGUAAAAGUUCUUUGGAAUAGGACAUCAUAGAGGGUGAGAAUCCCGUAUUUGACCUUUACUUUCAACUUCGUGAUACACUUUCAAAGAGUCGGAUUGUUUGGGAAUGCAGUCCAAAAUGGGUGGUAAAUUUCAUCUAAAGCUAAAUAUUGGCGAGAGACCGAUAGCGAACAAGUACCGUGAGGGAAAGAUGAAAAGAACUUUGAAAAGAGAGUUAAACAGUACGUGAAAUUGUCAAAAGGGAAGCGUUUGACACCAGUGUUGUUUUUCUGAAAAUCAAUUAAAGAACUGUUUAUGCUAAGCUGUUUAGACUUUAUCAGCUAACUGGUUAGUUUUGAGCUUUUCUUUAAUGCACUUUUCAGUUAACAAGUCAACAUCAAUUUCUUUUGCUGUAAAAAAGCUUGAGGAAGGUGGCUUGAGAUCCGUCUUAAGUGUUUAUAGCCUCUUGCCUAUGCAGUCGGAGAGAUUGAGGUCUGCAGCGUAGAUCCUUCGGGGCUAAAUGCAUUUGUGCUAAGUUAUAGUAGUUUUAUAGACAACUUGUUGACUAUGAUUUGUCUUGUAGCUUACUCGCUUAUGUUAUUUACCUACGCUUAGGAUGUUGAGUCAUCACACAUCUCU